rnacentral:misc_RNA from 1 species
UCUCCGUUGGUGAACCAGCGGAGGGAUCAUUACCGAGUUUACAACUCCCAAACCCAAUGUGAACGUUACCAAACUGUUGCCUCGGCGGGGUCACGCCCCGGGUGCGUCGCAGCCCCGGAACCAGGCGCCCGCCGGAGGAACCAACCAAACUCUUUCUGUAGUCCCCUCGCGGACGUUAUUUCUUACAGCUCUGAGCAAGAAUUCAAAAUGAAUCAAAACUUUCAACAACGGAUCUCUUGGUUCUG